rnacentral:tRNA from 1 species
GCAGUGGCACUUCAGUGGUAGAACUCUCGCCUUUCAAGCAGAAGACCCAGAUUCAAUUCCUGGCUGAUGCA